UUAUGGGGCAAAAUCGUAGCUAGUCAUCAUUCACUCACCUGAUGCCACCUUAAAUUCAUCUUUUGGGGAGCCAUUGUUGUCCAAUACCGUUGCCAUCAUGGAUUUACAUGAAUUUGUCAGAGUAUCUGUUUUUGUUUGUGUGUUGUUGUUUUUUUUUUUUGUUUUUUUGUUUUGUUUUUUUGGAGGAUGGUCCAGAGAUGUGAUUCACCGUUAAAUGCCCUUGCAAGGUCAAUGAAUGCUAUGUACAGAGGUUGAUUUUGUUCCCUGCAUUUUUCUUGGAGCUGUUGUGCAAUGCAAAUCAUAUUCAUUGUUCCUCUGAAGGGGUGGAAAGAGCUCUGGGAUUCUGGGAGAAUGUCUUCUGAAAUAGGUAGAAGGCAGUUUGCAAGGAUUCUGGUGACAAUUUUCCAGCAGAAGUUAGAAGGGAGAUACCUUGAUAGUUCAACAUACAUAUAGUAGCAAUUAGAGGAAAGGUCUAGAAGAGAAAGAGAACAUUCCUUUUUCUUUUUUAACAUUCCCAGGUUCCUGAAUCCUCAGUGCCACGCAGUUAUUGCUGUUCAGUCCUGAAUAAAGUAUAUUAAGUAGCAACACUUCUGAACUUUGUUUCACAACACGUAUGUGGAGAUACAAAGUGACUUAUACAGUGCUGUUACUGCCACUGCUCUAGACUUAACUGUCAUGCAGUAUAAAGGAUGGUGGAUGUGUUGUGAAUCUAUUGCUUUGGUAAAGACAAUAAUGGAGAACUAAGAGAUAAUGGGAUCAACCAUGCUUCAGGGUUAGUCUAUGUAUAAUGAACUCUUGAACCUUGUUUCCUUUUUUUUAGGUUAAAUCUUUUUCAGGGGAGUAGGAGGAUAGGUUGAUUUCUACAUCUUGAAGCUUCAUGUUACACUAGUUACAAAAGCAAGAAUCAAAGAAGUAUAGAGUUGGAAAAGACCACAAGUCAUCCAGUCGAACUCAAGUUGCUCCUGACAUGAGAAAAAAAAAUCCAGUCGAACCCAUGACUAUGCAGGAAUACAUAAUCAAAGCAUUCCUGACAGAGGACCAUCCAGCCUCUAAUUAAAAACCUCCAAAGAUUGGGAUUCCAUCACACUCCAAGACAACACAUUCCACUCUUGAACCGCUCUUACUGUCAGAAAGUUAUGGCAACCCUAAGGACAUCUGUGCAUGCUGUUUGCUGUUCUUCAUCCUUCAGACCUGACCAUGUUUUGAUUGAAAGUAUCUUCUCAUCUCAAGACAACCAUGGAACAUUUGCUAAUUUGGGCAUGUUACCAUCUUGAAUGAAGAAAAAUAGACUGAGGUCUGUUAAACUGUAGCCUAUUUUAGCCCUUUCCAGAUUACAUUUUGGCAGUUUGUUAUCACUUACAUUAUCAGCCCUGAUACUGCAUGUGAUGGGAAUGUUGUAGGGUUUUGUAUUGAGAAUAUCUGUUCUGAGCAUCAAUAAACAAUGUUUAUGCUGCAUUUGCUGUUAUGGCAACUGAAGUCUAAUCUUAAAAUGGACACGAUGGAAAUAAUGGACGCUUCUCUGUCAAUGUUGCUAUGGAAACACUUUUUUCUUAAAGUAACCCAGUCAGACAGUCAGUCCAUAGUGUCACAUAUCCCACUUGGAAGCAUCCUCAGUGUGGCCUACUUUAGUGAGUGGAUAGAAAUUGGAUAGUGAUGCUGCUGCUGGAGCUCCACAGGCUUUUCAGAGGCAUAAGAGAUUACUGUGAAGUGCUGCCUUCCGUACUGUGGGCAAGAAACAAUUAAUUCAAACAAUCUGAAAUGAAGGCUGGGAAAGGUCACAAGGCUGAUGCAUCUAGCAAAGGUGACAUUUCAGGGUUCAGCAUAGGUCAGCAAAAGGAAUUUCCAUGCCAAAAUUCACAGCAAAGUUCAUGGCUUGAUGUAUUCAAGACAAAAUUGCUCCACGGUAAUUAUCCUCAAUCUAAAGCAUCUCAUAUAGGGCAGCCAGAGUUCUGCACAUAGAGAGAGAUUUUAAAAGUUACUUGCUUACUUUUGAGAAUACUACUCCCAAAAAGUAAUUUGCCCAACCUCUGUGUAUAGCCACCUUGUGCCACUAUAUCAGGAUAAAAGCAGCAUACGAAUAAAAUAAAUAAAUAGUAAUAAAUAUAUAGUGGCUUUCGGGGGAAAAUAAGGACACAAAUGGCAAAUAUAUCAAGAGCUUGCAUUUGGUUUCCUUUGACAACUUCCAAAAAUCCAGCUUGUGGCAGAAUAAACCACUAAUCCCUACUAGGUAUGUGCGAUCCAGAAGAAAAAUGAUUCUAAACUCUGUUCAAAAGUAGGGGGCGCUGGCACUUUGUUUCUAAAAUAAUUUCCAAAUUUUGAAGGCAAA